rfam:Mesocricetus auratus contig115336, whole genome shotgun sequence.
GUCCUUUUUGAUUCAUAAGCAUGAUGAUUAGGUGUUCAUGCUUUUCAGAGACAUGUGACUCCCACAAACCUGGGUAUGAUAACAGAACAUUACCCAUCUGAUG